GAUGAACGCUGGCGGCGUGCCUAACACAUGCAAGUCGAGCGAACGGACGAGAAGCUUGCUUCUCUGAUGUUAGCGGCGGACGGGUGAGUAACACGUGGAUAACCUACCUAUAAGACUGGGAUAACUUCGGGAAACCGUAGCUGAUACCGGAUAAUAUUUUGAACCGCAUGGUUCAAAAGUGAAAGACGGUCUUGCUGUCACUUAUAGAUGGAUCCGCGCUGCAUUAGCUAGUUGGUAAGGUAACGGCUUACCAAGGCAACGAUGCAUAGCCGACCUGAGAGGGUGAUCGGCCACACUGGAACUGAGACACGGUCCAGACUCCUACGGGAGGCAGCAGUAGGGAAUCUUCCGCGAUGGGCGAAAGCCUGACGGAGCAACGCCGCGUGAGUGAUGAAGGUCUUCGGAUCGUAAAACUCUGUUAUUCGGGAAGAACAUAUGUGCUAGUAACUGGGAACAUCUUGACGGUACCUAAUCAGAAAGCCACGGCUAACUACGUG
rnacentral:rRNA from 1 species